GGUGAUGAGAAGGGUCUGAUUGAAACAUAUGUCACCUCAUUGAUCAUCAGGGUUGUUUCAGCUGAUCUGGCUGGUGAGACACAUGUUGCCUUCCUUCCUCACAGCUUCAUGUGCAUCCCUGUGGAUGGUGUGCACUGGAUUGAAGAGGAUGACUUUUCCCAUAAAGGUGUACCUUAAUUUGAUCAAGGGUAUAUGAGUAGCUACAUUCCCUUUCAAAAAAAAAGCUCCCAAGGCCCAAAAAGAAGAUAGGAUUCCGUGGACUAAAAUUCU
rnacentral:snRNA from 1 species